GCCGGGGUGGCGGAAUUGGCAGACGCACGGGACUUAAAAUCCCGGGAGCCUCGCGGCUCGUGAGGGUUCGAUUCCCUCCCUCGGCACCA
rnacentral:tRNA from 5 species